GAUGAACGCUAGCGGCAGGCUUAAUACAUGCAAGUCGAGGGGCAGCGCAGUGUAGCAAUACAUGGGCGGCGACCGGCAAACGGGUGCGGAACACGUACAGAACCUUCCUUCGAGCGGGGAAUAGCCCAGAGAAAUUUGGAUUAAUACCCCAUAGUAUAUUGAAGAGGCAUCUCUUCAAUAUUAAAGAUUUAUCACUUGAAGAUGGCUGUGCGGCUGAUUAGGUAGUUGGCGGGGUAACGGCCCACCAAGCCUGCGAUCAGUAACUGGUGUGAGAGCACGACCAGUCACACGGGCACUGAGACACGGGCCCGACUCCUACGGGAGGCAGCAGUAAGGAAUAUU
rnacentral:rRNA from 1 species